rnacentral:rRNA from 1 species
GGGGGAAUAUUGGACAAUGGGGGGAACCCUGAUCCAGCAAUGCCGCGUGUGUGAAGAAGGCCUGAGGGUUGUAAAGCACUUUCGGUGGUGAGGAAGGGGCAUAGGUUAAGAGCUAAUGCCACUUGACGGUAGCCACAUAAGAAGCACCGGCUAACUCUGUGCCAGCAGCCGCGGUAAUACAGAGGGUGCGAGCGUUAAUCGGAAUUACUGGGCGUAAAGCGCACGUAGGUGGUUAGAUAAGUUAGAUGUG